CCUACGGGCGACAGCAGUGAGGAAUCUUGGUCAAUGGACGAGAGUCUGAACCAGCCAAGUAGCGUGAAGGAUGACUGCCCUAUGGGUUGUAAACUUCUUUUAUAUGGGAAUAAAAUGUUCCACGUGUGGGAUUUUGUAUGUACCGUAUGAAUAAAGAUCGGCUAACUCCGUGCCAGCAGCCGCGGUAAUACGGAGGAUCCGAGCGUUAUCCGGAUUGAUUGGGUUUAAAGGGAGCGUAGGUGGAUUGUUAAGUCAGUUGUGAAAGUUUGCGGCUCAACCGUAAAAUGGCAGUUGAAACUGGCAGUCUUGAGUACAGUAGAGGUGGGCGGAAUUCGUGGUGUAGCGGUGAAAUGCUUAGAUAUCACGAAGAACUCCGAUUGCGAAGGCAGCUCACUGGACUGUAACUGACACUGAGGCUCGAAAGUGUGGGUAUCAAACAGGAUUAGAUACCCUUGUAGUC
rnacentral:rRNA from 1 species